rnacentral:lncRNA from 1 species
CCCAUUCCAUUGUGACAUCUUUGAGCCUGAUUACAGUAAACCUAGUGUUAACUAUUAAACCAAAUAGUAACCCCUUUAAUCAUUGUUAAGUUUGCAAAUCAAGACAUUAACGAUGAUUAAAACUAACUGCAUGCUUUUACUCAGGACUUGCACCAUUGAAAUAGUCAUUUUCAAAUAAACAUUUGCACUAACCCACAAUCUUUAACAUUGACUAACUGCCCAUUACAUAAUCUCCAUUUAAAUCUCUGGGCCAAAUACCUUCAGCAAUCAUAUUCCUUUAAGCUUCCAGAUUUUUCAAGCUUUCCAGAAUUCCCUUGCCUUCACAGUUCUUUCUUGCUUUCUGCCCUUAACUUUCUUCCACUUUCUUUCCAAAAAACAUUCAAUGGCAUCCAAAAUUGUUCGUCCUACAUGCGAGUUUGGUGAAGGCAUCGCCAUCAUGAGCCGUCAACUCAACGACCUUCAUCACUUUCGGGCAAGCUUCAACUCUUCUCUUUUCUUUGAGGAAUAAGGGGUCCAUUCUCUGUGACCUGCCUGGACUUUCAGGGUCCCAAUUGCUAUGGAGAACAACAUGCCAAUUGGUUCAUCCCAAACCCA